CGAGGAAUAUUGGGCAAUGCCCGAAAGGGUGACCCAGCAACGCCGCGUGGAGGAUGAAGGUCGUAAGAUUGUAAACUCCUGUUAGAGGGGAAGAAUAACUAAGUUUGGAGCUUAGUAUGACUGUACCCUCAGAGAAAGCCCCGGCUAACUACGUGCCAGCAGCCGCGGUAAUACGUAGGGGGCAAGCGUUGUCCGGAUUUACUGGGGGUAAAGGGCGCGCAGGCGGGAUAAAAAGUCAGUGGUGAAAUCCUACAGCUUAACUGUAGAACUGCCUUUGAUACUUUUAUUCUUGAGUUCGGGAGAGAGAGACGGGAUUCCAGGUGUAGUGGUGAAAUACGUAGAUAUCUGGAAGAACACCAGUUGCGAAGGCGGUCUCUUGGUCCGACACUGACGCUGAGGCGCGAAAGCGUGGGGAGCAAACA
rnacentral:rRNA from 1 species